rnacentral:rRNA from 1 species
AGUGAACGCUGGCGGUAGGCCUAACACAUGCAAGUCGAACGGCAGCACAGUAAGAGCUUGCUCUUACGGGUGGCGAGUGGCGGACGGGUGAGGAAUACAUCGGAAUCUACCUUUUCGUGGGGGAUAACGUAGGGAAACUUACGCUAAUACCGCAUACGACCUACGGGUGAAAGCAGGGGAUCUUCGGACCUUGCGCGAUUGAAUGAGCCGAUGUCGGAUUAGCUAGUUGGCGGGGUAAAGGCCCACCAAGGCGACGAUCCGUAGCUGGUCUGAGAGGAUGAUCAGCCACACUGGAACUGAGACACGGUCCAGACUCCUACGGGAGGCAGCAGUGGGGAAUAUUGGACAAUGGGCGCAAGCCUGAUCCAGCCAUACCGCGUGGGUGAAGAAGGCCUUCGGGUUGUAAAGCCCUUUUGUUGGGAAAGAAAAGCAGCAGGUUAAUACCCCGCUGUUCUGACGGUACCCAAGAAUAAGCACCGGCUAACUUCGUG